GGAGCUACAUGCAAGUCGAGCGGCAGCACAAGGAACUUGUUCCUUGGGUGGCGAGCGGCGGACGGUGAGUAAUGCCUAGGAAAUUGCCCUGAUGUGGGGGAUAACCAUUGGAAACGAUGGCUAAUACCGCAUGAUGCCUACGGGCCAAAGAGGGGGACCUUCGGGCCUCUCGCGUCAGGAUAUGCCUAGGUGGGAUUAGCUAGUUGGUGAGGUAAUGGCUCACCAAGGCGACGAUCCCUAGCUGGUCUGAAGGAUGAUCAGCCACACUGGAACUGAGACACGGUCCAGACUCCUACGGGAGGCAGCAGUGGGGAAUAUUGCACAAUGGGCGCAAGCCUGAUGCAGCCAUGCCGCGUGUAUGAAGAAGGCCUUCGGGUUGUAAAGUACUUUCAGUCGUGAGGAAGGUGGUGUUGUUAAUAGCAGCAUCAUUUGACGUUAGCGACAGAAGAAGCACCGGCUAACUCCGUGCCAGCAGCCGCGGUAAUACGGAGGGUGCGAGCGUUAAUCGGAAUUACUGGGCGUAAAGCGCAUGCAGGUGGUGGAUUAAGUCAGAUGUGAAAGCCCGGGGCUCAACCUCGGAACCGCAUUUGAAACUGGUUCACUAGAGUACUGUAGAGGGGGGUAGAAUUUCAGGUGUAGCGGUGAAAUGCGUAGAGAUCUGAAGGAAUACCGGUGGCGAAGGCGGCCCCCUGGACAGAUACUGACACUCAGAUGCGAAAGCGUGGGGAGCAAACAGGAUUAGAUACCCUGGUAGUCCACGCCGUAAACGAUGUCUACUAGAAGCUCGGAACCUCGGUUCUGUUUUUCAAAGCUAACGCAUUAAGUAGACCGCCUGGGGAGUACGGCCGCAAGGUUAAAACUCAAAUGAAUUGACGGGGCCCGCACAAGCGGUGGAGCAUGUUUAAUUCGAUGCAACGCGAAGAACCUUACCUACACUUGACAUAAGACUUACCAGAGAUGGUUUGGUGCUCGAGCUCUGAACGCUGCAUGCUGUCGUCAGCUUUUAAAUUGGGAGUCCGCACGAACCUUAUCUGUCAUCAUGUGUCAGUGUAAAGUGACAAUC
rnacentral:rRNA from 1 species